rnacentral:rRNA from 1 species
UGGGGAAUCUUGCGCAAUGGGCGAAAGCCUGACGCAGCGACGCCGCGUGAGUGAUGAAGGCCUUCGGGUUGUAAAGCUCUGUGGGGAGAGAAGAAUAAGUGCGGGCUAAUACUCCGCAUGAUGACGGUAUCUCCUUAGCAAGCACCGGCUAACUCUGUGCCAGCAGCCGCGGUAAGACAGAGGGUGCAAACGUUGUUCGGAAUUACUGGGCGUAAAGCGAGUGUAGGCGGUUUGGUAAGUCGGAUGUGAAAGCCCCGGGCUCAACCCGGGAAGUGCACUCGAUACUGCCAAGCUAGAGUAUCGGAGAGGUUGGUGGAAUUCUCGGUGUAGAGGUGAAAUUCGUAGAUAUCGAGAGGAACACCGGUGGCGAAGGCGGCCAACUGGACGAAUACUGACGCUGAGACUCGAAAGCGUGGGGAGCAAACAGGAUUAGAUACCCUUGUAGUCCCUGAGCGGGCUGGCAAGGCGCAU